UGGCGGCAGGGGUAACACAUGCAAGUCGAACGCCCCGCAAGGGGAGUGGCAGACGGGUGAGUAACGCGUGGGAACGUACCUUUCGCUUCGGAAUAUUCCCGGGAAACUGGGAGCAAUGCCGAAUACGCCGUAUUGGGAAAGAUUUAUCGGCGAAAGAUCGGCCCGCGUUAGAUUAGGUAGUUGGCGGUGUAAUGGACCACCAAGCCUACGAUCUAUAGCUGGUCUGAGAGGAUGAUCAGCCACACUGGGACUGAGACACGGNCCAGACUCCUACGGGAGGCAGCAGUGGGGAAUCUUGGACAAUGGGCGCAAGCCUGAUCCAGCCAUGCCGCGUGAGUGAAGAAGGCCUUAGGGUUGUAAAACUC
rnacentral:rRNA from 1 species